rnacentral:rRNA from 1 species
AUACGGAGGGAACAAGCGUUGUCCGGAUUUACUGGGCGUGAAGCGCGCGUAGGCGGUCCAUUAAGUCGGCUGUGAAAGCGCUGGGCUCAACCCGGCAAGGUCAGUCGAUACUGGUGGACUCGAGUCCGGGAGAGGGAAGCGGAAUUGCUGGUGUAGCGGUGGAAUGCGUAGAUAUCAGCAAGAACACCGGUGGCGAAGGCGGCUUCCUGGACCGGCACUGACGCUGAGGCGCGAAAGCUAGGGGAGCGAACCGGAUUAGAUACCCGUGUAGUCC